rnacentral:rRNA from 11 species
GGUAGGACUACCCGCUGAACUUAAGCAUAUC